AAUCUAGAAAGUGAAUUCAUGUGUAUUUACCAAAAAUUGCAUCCAUAAAAUCCCACUUCCCAGAAAUAACCACAAAAUGCACCAAAUUUUAAAAUCUAUAAAAACAGGUGGAAGAAACAUUUCAACAAACAGUUAAAGGGCAUUCACGGUAAACCUAUAUAUCUGAUAAAAGGAAAAUUCUUUGAAUGUAACCAGUUACUAGAUUCAAAUGGGUUUUCAAACGUGAGCAAAAUUGGAGAAGAAGAUGAAUAACCUGAUGAUGUAAUCUUCAAAUUCAAAGUUCUGCUAUGUGUUUGUAUGUGUUGACAAGAGACAGAGGAAGCAAGAUAUAAUUCACAAUGUUGGAGUCCAACAAAAUAUGUGGAGCAUAAUUUUUAGUUAACUAAUAACUUUUUUAUUUAAUUUAUUUCCAUUUAACUUUUUUUAAUACUCCAAAAUAAAAUACACUAAAAUAAAAUACAUAGAGAAAAAGAGUUUCUUAUGAGAUGGAAAAUCC
rnacentral:lncRNA from 1 species